AACACCUGUUUAUCUCUGCUAAUCUGCUGGGAGCCUGGUACUCAAGGCCAUGCGGGCCUGAGAAGGUUGAGAUCAGAGAUGGGAGGGGGGCCUGCAAGGCGCGAAAAAGUGAAGAAGCUUUGGGAAUAGGAUUGCAUCAGAAAACCCCUGAUUGGUUAAUUCAUCCUGAAACGAUGUGUGCCUUUUUCCUUAAGUAUAGGGGUUGUGACCCAUAGUUUUGUUCCCCUCUGGACAUUCUAAUGGACAUUCCUCUGGAGUGCUCUUGGGAUAUCUGUAUGGGGUUCCACUGCUUCUUACCAACCUGCUGCUAUUCUCUCUGAGGAGACAUGAGAUUUACCAACAACUGCCUCUUCCACAGGGAGAUGAUGCCAACUUGACGUCUAUCCCAGCUCCCCAACUAUGGGGUAUCAAAGAGGUCAUCCAUCAGAUGACUCCAGUGAACGGCAUUUACAUUUCCCUUGGCUGCUAUCCAAGAAUGAGGAAUAAGUAAAGUCUUCAUGAUUAUUACAAAGGACCAAUGUGGCUAAUAGAUAUUUACUGCUAGUCUUGCUCCAGUGAUUAAGAGAAAUCCCCUGAAGGAAUGGAUGCUUGAGCAGUUUGCUAAGACUGCUCCAAAACAACACAUCAUCGUAGCUAAAUGGUCUGAUUAAGGAAGGUGAUGGGAACAACAAAUAGACAAAAUGGGCUUUUUUUAUCAGAAAGUCACAGAGGGAAGCUGUCUGAUCCAAUCUCCCAUGGGACUUGAUGGCAGAAGGUACAACACAGCCCUGUUGGCAUCAACAUGAUUAUGCAAGUAUUCUUCCACCUCAAAAUGACCAGGCAUCAGGACUGUUGCUCAGCAACAUGAAUGAAACUCUAGUGCAAACUGAAAGCUUCAUUAAUCUUUUAAAAUAUUUUGCCUCGCCAGCUCAUGAAUACUUGAUGCAGAUUUAGGGGCAUCCUUGCAAUGUGUCCAUUGGCAUCUCGACAGGAAGCAAGUCAAUUACAACAACGCCCCAUUUUUUACUUGAUUCAAGUUAUUUUACCCUUGACUGUUUUGCUUUGAACCACAUUCAGUUCAAUACAUAUCUAUGGACUGUA